UACGUAGGGUGCAAGCGUUGUCCGGAAUUAUUGGGCGUAAAGAGCUCGUAGGCGGUCUGUCACGUCGGAUGUGAAAACUCGGGGCUCAACCCCGAGCCUGCAUACGAUACGGGCAGACUUGAGUGUGGCAGGGGAGUCUGGAAUUCCUGGUGUAGCAGUGAAAUUCGCAGAUAUCAGGAGGAACACCGGUGGCGAAGGCGGGACUCUGGGCCAAUACUGACGCUGAGGAGCGAAAGCGUGGGGAGCGAACAGG
rnacentral:rRNA from 1 species